GGGAGGAUGUUUUGCAGCAUCGGCAGCGAAAUGUCAUCUGUUUCUAUGGUUACCGGACGCCGGAGGACGCAUCUGCUAGUAGCUUUCCAUGGAUGCGUGCAUGAGAGGACGCGCGCUUUAAUGUCUGUUUGUUGUGAAGUGCAAAUGCUGGCUGCAACUCCAAAGAUGUAUAAAAACAAACUGGCGUGACGUCACACAAAAGAGACAACCCAGCUUCCGUUUUCAGGGAAGCGGAUGAAUGACUUUCUCAAGUCUGACAAACGAGCAAUACAUCAAUAGGCCUACUUGUUAUUUUUCUUAACGGAUUAAAGUGACUUUGUCGUCGUUGAAGUUAAGUUUAGUGUAGCGAAGGACUAUCUGUUUGGACAGCAACAGGAAAGGAUGCGAAGGAAUCAGAAAUACAGAAAGAAGCUGGCACAUUUUUGCAGAAAAACUUGAAUCAGCAAAGGAGCAACUCGUAAAAACCAAAUCGAAAUCAAUCUCAUUGAUGAAAUUGUUUCUGCAUUAAAUAGUGACUGAAUAGUGGCAAUCAAAAUGCACAGCAAGAGCCUUGCCUUGAUUAUUCCUUCUGCUUGCAGGUCCAGCUUUGCGAGGAUGGAGGCGCACGCUACAGUAAAUGUCAGGCCAGGAAGGAUGAUGCUUGUUUUCUCAAGCAGGUUUCACUACAAUACAGCAUGUGGACAUUAAACGAAGACAACAAUUCAGCAUGAAACCGA